rnacentral:piRNA from 1 species
UGGGCUAGACAGAAGGGCGAGAUGGUC